rnacentral:rRNA from 1 species
UACGAAGGGGGCUAGCGUUGCUCGGAAUCACUGGGCGUAAAGCGCACGUAGGCGGAUUGUUAAGUCAGGGGUGAAAUCCUGGAGCUCAACUCCAGAACUGCCUUUGAUACUGGCGAUCUUGAGUCCGGGAGAGGUGAGUGGAAUUCCCAGUGUAGAGGUGAAAUUCGUAGAUAUUGGGAAGAACACCGGUGGCGAAGGCGGCUCUCUGGACCGAUACUGACGCUGAGGCGCGAAAGCGUGGGGAGCAAACAGG